AUUUAGGGUCGCAACUAAGAAAUGUGGAUGUUUGAUACAAAUCCAGGUUUAUUUGAUUUUAAAGCCCAUUUUUCCCCUGCCAAUUCACUCUGUUUUCCAUAUACCUAAAGAUGGAGUAUAUGAUCCAUGAAUAAUUAAAAAUAAGAUGAAAUAAUAAGGUUCUCACUAAGAUACAAUGAUGCCUUUUAUUAUAGGUAUAAAAUGCCUAUUAUUUAUAGCAAUAAAAUACUUAACAAAAAUCAAAAUUCUUAAUUUUAGUGAAACAGAUGAUACAUUAUGUUUCAUUAUAUAUUUCAAUUGAUUUUUGAGACUACCUAGGCAAACUUGAUUUCAAAUUCAUUAGUAAAAAUCCCCUGGCUUUCUACACAGAAUAUCAUUAUGGAAAUCAACAUUUAAAGAAUUUUUAUCUGAAAAAAGGCAAGUUCCAUGUAGUUUGAAUAAUCAUAGUAGUGUAGGCUAUAUAGAGGUGUUAAGUAAGGGUAAAGAUCAGAUAAACAUAUUGUGUUCAACUACUUCUGAGUAAGUUUUUAAUAGAGUAGCUCAUUUUGUUUGAAGUAUAUUCUUUCUUAUAGAAUGAUUAGACAUGCCAGUAUGCAAAUAUAAAUAUGGAAACACAUUUAAAAUUCAAAUAUAAAUUAUUUUGGAUUUCCAUAUUGUAAUUUCCCCAGUACAAAUAAUAAAGAGAUAUUGCACUUUGAAAAGCUCUGGAAAGUUCUAUCCUUCCUGCAAAGGUAUAAUAGAAUAUGUAUAAAAAUAAAAACAUGUUUUGCAUCAUUUGUGCAGUUAAUUUAUCAUAUAUGUCAAUCCAGGGGUUGCUGUAAUUUUUACAUAUAAUAAAAAGCAAGUUAUGGUGGUGCCUAUGUACAUUCACUUAACAUUUUAAAAAUUAUUGAGCACUUGAUACAUUCAGAAAAUUGUACUCAUGCUCUAUUAACAUACAUGGAUGACUAUAACAUGGCUUUGCUUUGGAAACCUCGAAGUUUUGUGAGACAUAGGAAUGUAAACAACCCACUGUAUUUACCAUAACAGAUAUUCCUCAAUUUGUACAAUUAACCGUGUUUCCUGGGGAAGAAAACUAAUGUUUAUCAAGUGCUCAUUAUAUCUAGAAACUAGACUCAAGAAUUAAUGAACUUAAUGUGUUUUGUCCAGUGCCUUUAACUUUGUAUGUUCAUAACAAAUGUUGUCACAUUAUCAAUCUAAUGUAAUCAUCAAAAUAGCUGUGUGAUAUAGCUAUUACUGGAUGAUAAGUAACUUGCUUAAGAAUACAGAGCUAGUAAGUAUUUUUCAAAUCUGAAUCCAAGGCCAAUUUUGUAGAACUAUGUUGUCAAAAAUAGAUUCCAUGUACUCUAGGGAAUAGUAGGGUUUGAGAAAAAAAUCAAAACUUUUAUGUUUAUAUAUAUAAUAAAUUUUAAAAACUAGUUAUAAUAAAAUACUAAUAUUUAACAUGCAGAUAUAUGUUGGCAAUGUCAGAAUAUCAUUUACAUGAAUUUUAAAUUAUGCAAAGUAUCCUGAAGGGGGAAUUAGAGUUCAUAUGCUUGAAGAGUUGGAGGUAUUUAAUUUUACUUGUUCCUUGUUAUAAGGAGUCAUGGAUUAUAUUAUCUAGUUUUAACUAACUUAUAAAAUAGACAAAGUCAUACUCAAUAAAAAUUAUAAUAAGAUAAUACUAAUAUUCCUAGCACAUUUGAACAAGAAUAUCCUUAAAGCAUACCAUUGAUACUUUGUUGGUUAUAGUAUAAAAAUUGUGUAUAAUCAUGGUUAGCAAUAGGUCAACCCAAAAUAACUAAUGAGAAGUCUAUUUGAAAUGUUGAUUAAUACUCACUAUCGUUCAAAGGAAUCUCACUUAGAUAUAUAGUGUACUUUGAGAUAUUUUUGAAUGAUGACACAAGACCAUCUCAUUGAUAAUGCAGUAAAAUGUAACUACCCAGAUCAUGAAGCAAACAAUGUUCAAUGUUAUGUGAUACUCAGUUUGGACUUUACAGAGUCAUUAAAUUAAUGAUUAGAAGAUUUGGGGGGGGGUUUAAAUUAAUAGUAAAUAUAUAAAUAUGUAUUUGCAUGUAAUAUAAUUUAUAUAUAUUAUAGAUAUAUCAUUAAAAACAUUGUUUUUCCUUCCAGAGCAAACAUAGCUGAAAAAUGAUGUCAACAAACUUUAUCACAUUUGUCAGAAAAUGCUGUUAGAAGAUGCAUAGAAAAUAUUGCUAAAGAUUUGAAGAAUCAAAUAUUGAAUAAAUUAUGCAUUAUGGAAUGUUUACUAUGUAGUUAAAUUCUAGUCCCAGUAUUUCUAAUAUUUCAGUCAAUGGUAUUUGCUACGUUCAAUUUCAGUAAGAGAAGAACUGUGUUUUUACAAAUCACUAAGGGAUUACUGGAGAAGAUGACUGUGAAGAAGUAAAAUACUCUCUUAGUUAAAUGAUGCAUUGUGGAAAAUCUAUGUUAACUGUAUUAACAUAAUUUUAGAGUAUUGGAGUGGUUGUUUUGACUGGAAGAGAAAAGGUUUCUGGGUCAUGUUACACAACUACAUACACGUGAAAGUCAUUCACUUACCAUUUAUAGACAAACUAUUUUAACAAAUUGAAGUCAAAAGUUCACACAAGGGUUGUAGGAUGUCUUUAAUGUAGUAAUUUAUUUUUUACUUAAAUCUUUAAAAUUUUGGAGAAAAUAUAUUACCAAAUAUGGAAAAACCAUAAUGUUUUAGUAGAGGAAUUAUGAUACCUUCUAAUAAAGAGAGAGUUGUCAUGAAUUUCGUUUGCACAAUUGAGAUUCAUUGGUUAUUCAGUGUUAGAGUAUUGUGAAAUAAUAUCAAAUUUAUGGAAGUUACACAUUUUUCUAUUACAUUGUGACAAGGGUUCUCGUUCUGUAUACCUUUUCUGAAAUGUCAGGUGAUUGGUCCUUUCUAACAUUUUUCCAAAAAAUUGUAUUACUUUUUAAAGUAAUGGUACUAAUAAUUAAGAAAAAGGUAAUUGCUGUUUAAAAGACCCAUGGCAUGGUGAGAGCAUUUUAUUUGUAAUGUUUCUAAUUAUUUUCAUUAUAAUGAGAUUUUGUUGCCAAAACCCAUUUCAUUGUGAAACUAGUUUCUGUAAACAUUAAAAACUGUAAAAAGAAUGCAUCCACAUAUUUUUGAAAACUUGGAACCUAAUUUUAUAACUUGUUUUAAAGUCUUAUAAAUGCAGCCUUUACAUAGAUUUUAAAAUAUUUUGUUAAAAAUAAUAUGAAAGAUAAAUUUUUUCCUUAGUUUAUCAGAAUGACUUAUUUAUUGGUAGGAAGAUAGAAAUUUACUAGUCAAAUUUCAACAAAGUUCUUUUACAUAAUUGGGAUUGGGCUGAAAAUAGAGUUUUGUGAUUUGGUAAGCAGAAAUGGUACUUUUCUUCCAUUUGGGUCCUAUUUUCUGAGACUUUCUCCCUCACCCCUUUAUGACAACCAUUACAGUUAAAUAUUGCAGGAACAAACAUAGUAUCAUUUUUCAAAUGACCAUUUCACAAAAUGCAAUACCAAGGCAAGACAUAAAGAAUUAUACAUAUUUAAUUUAAUUUGUCUUAUCAUUUCUUAAGUAUGUAUUUUUAAAUUUUUCAUAAAUAG
rnacentral:lncRNA from 1 species